CCUACGGGAGGCAGCAGUGGGGAAUAUUGGACAAUGGGCGCAAGCCUGAUCCAGCCAUGCCGCGUGAGUGAUGAAGGCCUUCGGGUUGUAAAGCUCUUUUGGCGGGGACGAUAGUGACGGUACCCGCAGAAUAAGCCCCGGCUAACUUCGUGCCAGCAGCCGCGGUAAUACGAAGGGGGCUAGCGUUGUUCGGAAUCACUGGGCGUAAAGCGCACGUAGGCGGAUCUAUAAGUCAGGGGUGAAAUCCCGGGGCUCAACCUCGGAACUGCCUUUGAUACUGUGGGUCUUGAGUUCGAUAGAGGUGAGUGGAAUUCCUAGUGUAGAGAUGAAAUUCGUAGAUAUUAGGAAGAACACCGGUGGCGAAGGCGGCUCACUGGAUCGAUACUGACGCUGAGGUGCGAAAGCGUGGGGAGCAAACAGGAUUAGAUACCCCUGGUAGUCCACGACCGUAACUAUGAUGCUAGCGUCAGAUAGUCUUGUCUAUUUGGUUGGUCGGCGAGCGUACGACAUUAAGUACACUCCCGCCGUCGGGGAGGUACGGCCGGCCGAACGGUUAAAACGUAACGAAGGAAGUAGACGGCGNGAGACGUGCCGACGGCGACCACGAGGGAGGUAGG
rnacentral:rRNA from 1 species